AGAGUUUGAUCCUGGCUCAGGACGAACGCUGGCGGCGCGCCUAACACAUGCAAGUCGAACGAGCGAGAGAGAGCUUGCUUUCUCAAGCGAGUGGCGAACGGGUGAGUAACGCGUGAGGAACCUGCCUCAAAGAGGGGGACAACAGUUGGAAACGACUGCUAAUACCGCAUAAGCCCACGGGUCGGCAUCGACCAGAGGGAAAAGGAGCAAUCCGCUUUGAGAUGGCCUCGCGUCCGAUUAGCUAGUUGGUGAGGUAACGGCCCACCAAGGCGACGAUCGGUAGCCGGACUGAGAGGUUGAACGGCCACAUUGGGACUGAGACACGGCCCAGACUCCUACGGGAGGCAGCAGUGGGGAAUAUUGCACAAUGGGGGAAACCCUGAUGCAGCGACGCCGCGUGGAGGAAGAAGGUCUUCGGAUUGUAAACUCCUGUUGUUGAGGAAGAUAAUGACGGUACUCAACAAGGAAGUGACGGCUAACUACGUGCCAGCAGCCGCGGUAAAACGUAGGUCACAAGCGUUGUCCGGAAUUACUGGGUGUAAAGGGAGCGCAGGCGGGAAGACAAGUUGGAAGUGAAAUCCAUGGGCUCAACCCAUGAACUGCUUUCAAAACUGUUUUUCUUGAGUAGUGCAGAGGUAGGCGGAAUUCCCGGUGUAGCGGUGGAAUGCGUAGAUAUCGGGAGGAACACCAGUGGCGAAGGCGGCCUACUGGGCACCAACUGACGCUGAGGCUCGAAAGUGUGGGUAGCAAACAGGAUUAGAUACCCUGGUAGUCCACACCGUAAACGAUGAUUACUAGGUGUUGGAGGAUUGACCCCUUCAGUGCCGCAGUUAACACAAUAAGUAAUCCACCUGGGGAGUACGACCGCAAGGUUGAAACUCAAAGGAAUUGACGGGGGCC
rnacentral:rRNA from 1 species